rnacentral:lncRNA from 1 species
AGUGAGCAGCUUGAUCUGUCCUGGGACCAUCGCCGGGUGCAGCAGAACCUGACGUACGAGGUGAGGGGGGCCUGGGGAGCCGGGUCCCAGACAGGCGACCCACGGGGCAGCCCCACCGGCUGCAGAAAGGGCCUGCUUCGGGGGCCACAUGGUCCUGGGUGCAGGUGCUAGCUAGGAGACACAUUUCUCCACCCUGAGCCUUGGUUUUCUCAUCUGCAAAAUGGGUGCAGUUGUCCUUUCCUGACUGGAGUGGAGGACAGCAAGGUGCCCAGCAUGAGGGGAGCACUCAGGGAGCCGAUAGUGAAGGAGCUGGUGACACCAGUGGGCUGCUGGGGGUGAGGGGAGGUCCGGGGCUCAGGUUCCCAUGGGUGUCAGAGGCAGGGUCCCCCCAGCAUCGCCACCAGCCGGGGGCUCCUGAUGGGGCUGAGCGCUGUUCUGCAAGGCCUGGGGCACGGGGUAAUGGGGAUGCUUAGUCUGGAAGACUUCCGGGGGUGGCUUCCCCGCUUACGAGAUGAGCCCCACUCCACGGUGCCCUGUCGUUCCAGAGGCUUCAGCCAUCCCGGCCAGACAAGAUCCGUGCGGAGGCCACCUUGGAGCACGUCCUCACGGCCCCCUGCACCACGCAGAGCUUCUGGGGGACAGUGGAGACCGACUAUGCCCACAGGCUGCGCCAUUCCCUGCGCCUGGGGCUCUGCGGCCUGCCCAGGGCCCUCUCGGUCUCCGGGGAGCACACCCUGGGCAGCAGUGGGCUCCUGCUGCAUUCCCACUGCCAGCUGGGCCUCGCUCCGGACCCCACCCACGGCCUGCACCUCAGUCUGACCCUCCGCAACCACAGCAGGCCUGGGAUGCCCGGCUUCUCCGGGGAGCUGGAGGUGGGUGUCCUGGUCAGGGCUGCACACCCCGUGGGAAAAUGCCCUGACAUCCAUCCGUCUGUCUUUCUCUGGCCAGUGCGCCCUCACCCCCUGGGCGGCCCCGCCAUCUAGUGGCCACUUUCAGAACUGCAGGCUGGCACAGGGUGGGGACGAGAGCUGGCCUGUGGGUGGGACCCCCCUGGGCCUGGCCCAGCCCCGAGAUAAAGCCCCUCCUCUGCUGCCCCAACAUCCAGCCCUUCCUAUAACCCAGAGGCAGUGGCUGGACUGCCCGGGUUUGAAUCCCAGCCCAGCCUCUUCCUAGCUGGCAGCUUGCUUUGCCUCCCUGUGCCUCAGUUUCCUCAUCUGUAAGUGGGGAUCAGCUGUAUUCAGAAGGUGGUUGGUGGGGCUCUGGGCACCUCUGCCCGCACAGCAUGGGUACACAGUAGGUGUCCAUCAGUGUUGCGUCCACCCGCCUGUCUCCCUGGCUGGGUGACCUUGACCUUGACCUUGUGGCCCUCCUUCUCCAAGCCUCAGUCUUCUCUUCCCGUCAAGUGGGAACAAACUCCACCUCCUGUGCAGAGUUGUCGAGAGGAAAAAGAGACAGGUUUGCACAGCACACGC